AUGUCGGGGCGACAGUUCACUUGGGCCAACAACCGUCCGGUGCCGACAUACGAGCAACUCGAUCGGGUACUCAUGGAUACCGAAUGUGAAUUAAAAUUCCCUACGGUAACAGUGCGUGUCCUAGAGCGUAUUGAGUUACUUUCGGACCAUGCACCCAUCAUUCUUGAUUCUAACUCUACUACCUCUUCCACUGUUCGCCGCCCAUUCAAAUUUGAAUUGGGAUGGUUACAUCGGGAUGACUUUGCAGAUAUAGUUAAGAAUUUAUGGGAGAGGCCUGCCAUUGGUCGCAGACCGAUUCAAAGAUGGAACUUCAGAAUUCGAGCCAUGAGGCGGUUCCUAACUGGAUGGGCCAAACACACAAGUGGUAUAUAUAAAAAAGAAAAGCAACGCCUUUCCACUAUUAUAGAUGACCUCGACAAAAUAGCAGAGACUCGCCUUUUGUCUCAACACGAGAUUGAUAUGAAAAAUCAAUCCAAUGAGCAAAUUGCACGUCUAUUGCGAGAAGAGGAAAUCAAAUGGUAUCGAAGAUCAGGUGCCCAAUUCAUUUUGGAGGGAGACAAUAAUACACGAUAUUUCCAAAUGGUCGGCAAUGGGCGUCAUAGGAAGAAGUGUAUUUUUAGCCUCCAACAAGAUGAGGGGCGGAUCGAGGGUCAGGCAGAGCUCAAGUGUUAUAUAACCAAAUACUACAAGUGUUUGUUUGGGGCUCCAGAUGAAGGGACUUCACUCUAG
rnacentral:rRNA from 1 species